GCCUUACCAUGCAAGUCGAACGGCAGCACGGGAGCAAUCCUGGUGGCGAGUGGCGAACGGGUGAGUAAUAUAUCGGAACGUGCCCAGUCGUGGGGGAUAACGUAGCGAAAGCUACGCUAAUACCGCAUACGAUCUAUGGAUGAAAGCGGGGGACUCGCAAGAGCCUCGCGCGAUUGGAGCGGCCGAUAUCAAAUUAGCUAGUUGGUGGGGUAAAAGCCCACCAAGGCGACGAUCUGUAGCUGGUCUGAGAGGACGACCAGCCACACUGGAACUGAGACACGGUCCAAACUCCUACGGGAGGCAGCAGUGGGGAAUUUUGGACAAUGGGCGAAAGCCUGAUCCAGCAAUGCCGCGUGCAGGACGAAGGCCUUCGGGUUGUAAACUGCUUUUGUACGGAACGAAAAAGUCUUUUCUAAUAAAGAAGGCUCAUGACGGUACCGUAAGAAUAAGCACCGGCUAACUACGUGCCAGCAGCCGCGGUAAUACGUAGGGUGCAAGCGUUAAUCGGAAUUACUGGGCGUAAAGCGUGCGCAGGCGGUUAUAUAAAACAGAUGUGAAAUCCCCGGGCUCAACCUGGGACCUGCAUUUGUGACUGUAUAGCUAGAGUACGGUAGAGGGGGAUGGAAUUCCGCGUGUAGCAGUGAAAUGCGUAGAUAUGCGGAGGAACACCGAUGGCGAAGGCAAUCCCCUGGACCUGUACUGACGCUCAUGCACGA
rnacentral:rRNA from 1 species